GAUGAAGAACGCAGCGAAAUGCGAUAAGUAAUGUGAAUUGCAGAAUUCAGUGAAUCAUCGAAUCUUUGAACGCACCUUGCGCUCUUUGGUAUUCCGAAGAGCAUGCCUGUUUGAGUGUCAUGAAAAUAUCAACCUUGACUUGGGUUUUGUGCUCUAGUCUCGGCUUGGAAUUGGGUGCUCGCCGCUUUUACGAGCGGCUCACCUUAAAUGUAUUAGCUGGAUCUGUCUUUGAGACUUGGUUUGACUUGGCGUAAUAAGUAUUUCGCUAAGGACAUUCUUCGGAGUGGCCUCGUUUCUAGGACGCUUGUCCGCUUUCCAAUACAAGUUCCACCUCGUGGACAUGACUUUUUAUUAUCUGGCCUCAAAUCAGGUAGGACUACCCGCUGAACUUAAGCAUAUCAAUAAGCGGAGGA
rnacentral:misc_RNA from 1 species